GGGCACAGGCUGGCAAAACCACCAGACAGGCUCAUUCAGUCUUGCCACCGCUUUGUGCUGGGAAAGGACAGACAGAGGGAGAAAAGGUACGAGAGAAAGAGAAAGACAGACAGACAAGACCCAUAUAUUUCACUGAAAGAGCAAAGGACAAAGGCAGCUGACUGGAAAGAUUCUUUCCUCUCCCAAAUCAGGAAGAAGGCAAGGUCGGACCUUGUCCAACACCAAAGGAAUCUGGCACCGUGGGUUCUCCAGCUCCUUAGGACCACUAAAGAAAAGAGGGGGAAGAUAUGACCUGACCACCCACCCAUUGGGCUGCCAGGUAUCCUGACUCAGGGACCUUCUAUCCUGCUAUCUCUAUUCUUACCAUGCCAUUCCCUGGGCAUGAGAGGUUAACAGCUAUUUUGAGAUGAAAGACAAGGGCCAAAACAAGAAAAACGAUUAAGGAUGGUGAGUGGAGGAGGAGAAGGGAAGCGGGGAAGGUAUAAUGGUGACCAAAAGGGAGACAGAAUCCCUGAUUGCUUGUCCAUAGCAGAGUGGCCAAGGGCAAUGAGGGUUAAGUGACUUGCCCAGGAUCACACAGUAUCUGAGGAUGGAUUUGAACUCAGGUCCUCCUGAAUCCAGAGCCUGUGCUUUAUCCACUGCACCACCUAGCUGCCCCAAGAUUGGUUCACUUUGGUUGCAACUUGUGGUUGUGUGGACUGCUCCAUGCUACAGGCCUAGAAGAUCAAAUCAGAUUCAGUGUCUCCUGAAUGUCAUUUUAUUACACAAUCUAGCAUUCUCUAAACUACGAGGAACUGCUUCUGCUCUUUGCCAUUAAUGUGGAAAGCUCCAGCAGUGGGUAAAUCAGAGUCCAACAUAAAGACAUUCUCCUUCCUCCUCCCACCAAAGUCUACAAUUUAUUCCAAUAUGUUACUUUUCAAUCCCCGGAAGUUCGCUCACUAUUGUGCCGAGCUUUCCUAUCCUUCACUCUAGGAAGCUGCUACCUCAGGUUUUUCUCCUGCUCUCUGUGGUAGAUACUGUCUUUCUUCCAGUCUCAUUAACAGUCUUCAUCCAAUACCCUGAUGCAGCCCUACAUAAAGCAAACAUAUUUCUCUUGGUGACAUG